CAAGUUCGGCAGGAGAUCUGAGGAGCUGGAAUCUGUGAUACAUGGAUGGCUCGCUGGGAGAGACUGGGAGGUAAGUUUUUCCCCCUGUUGACCUCUUACUUGCUUAUUCAUAUUAGGUUGAACUCUACAGAGCCAUAUCUUUUCCAAAUGCCAAUUUUAAGGGAAGUGCAACUUUCUGAAUUCGUAUUCCUUCUAGCAGUUCAUGAUGGUAGAUGUUUUUCUUUCAUUUAUGUUUACUCCUUUUGGUGGCUCUUGGUGGGUUCAUCUAUAGGAUCUAUCCUUCCCAACUUGCUUGAGAAUAAAACGGCGUGAUGUGUUUGUCGUAUGUCAUAAAGCUAUGUGAACUUUUGUAGUAGAUAAUCUAUUUAUCUAUCAAGUGACAGUCAGGAUAUGCCAUUUGUUUGAUUUUAUUUCUUUGUUUCAACAGAAGGCAAUCGCAGACCUCACAUCAUCAGAGUUCAGUGCGGGAGGUUCAAAGCGGGCAAAAAGGAACUAGCCAUUUGCCAAGGUAUCAUGCUUCCUACUUAAGGCAGCGAGCUGCUCUAUUCACUAGUUUCCUGUCAUCUGCCAUGAUGAGUGGGAGUUUUCUGUUGCGUGCAGCUGGCGUUUGCUCCCUCUUCCUGCAAAAUUAUUGCUACGAAAAAUAAACCUUGGAAGGAAGCAAUUAGAAUAAACCAAUACAUGCAACAUCCUACGAAAUUAUAACCAUACAUAAAAAAAGAAGUAAAUGAAUGCAUGUGCCAUUAGCAGUAUUCCUCUGUUUCAUGUUACAGAACCAUGAAUAUGAGAUAGAAUUUAGGGGAUGCCAAGCAGAGUAGGAACAGUUAUUACCUUGAUCAACUAUCCGUCCAAAAACAUGAUUAAACCUAAAGGUCAUCUUCUAUUUCUCUGCUGAAGGACGCUUUGAGGCACUUCGAGGCCGGCACCUAAAGAACAACCUGGUGUUUUCCCACAUCUCGAUGAGCUCAUUGUAUAAAGUACACAUUUUUAGAUAACGGGCAACAAAGAGUGCUCGACUCCAAUUGGAAGCUUUGCUGGAAUUUGCCGAUACUAUUCUCAGGUCAUACAUUUUCUUUCCUUCGAUGCCAUCAUCAGCUAUCCCCUCUUUGAUAUUGGUUAGGGUAUCCACAUAGUUACAAAGGAAAUCCGCAUAAGCCAAAGAUUUCUGCGGUUUAACUUUAUCAAAUAUUAUGUCAUUUCUCAAAUGCCAGGCCCUCCACCACAUGAACAUUAGUUCUUGUCGAGUUUCCCACGGGUGCCUCCUAGACUGCUACCCAGUUUGUGAAGCCUUGUUCAACACAUCCCAGGUUGGUAGAACCAUAUAGUUUGUGAAGUGGAAUUGGCAUUCGUUAACUAAAAGCACCAUCUAAACGCAUGUACAAAAGAAAGGUCAGAUCAUUGAGGACAGGCAACCAGAAUAUUUGACUCGAUGUGAUUUGUUUUAGCUGCUAAUCAUCCUAGUACCACUGCUGUUUCAUCCAUAUAUUGGUAGUAACAAGUUGCCUGUUUGCCCUUGCAGGUAGAUGAAGCAGCAGCAGCAGCAGGAGAAGGCACGAGUCAAUGGUCCAGUGCCAAACAUCAUCGUCAUAGUCCAGUUCAGGCAUUUUUUUGGGGAUCUGAACUUGCUAAUUGUGUUAGCAUUUUGGUUACUAGCUGACAUGUGUAACCCAGUACAUCUAAUUUGGGAACUAAACUAGUUGCCAGUAGCAGUGUAAUGGGGGAAAUGGCCAUUGGAUGGUGCUCAUAGCAACACAAUGAACACCUGAUAUCCUUUUGUGCUGCUUUUUGAGGAAGAGCAAACUGUAGGUCAAAGUAUUUGUCUCGUUUUGAUCAAGACUGCUCUGUUAUGGAUUUUUUUUUUCAAAACUGGCAUGCUUUUUAUAGCA
rnacentral:lncRNA from 1 species